rnacentral:rRNA from 1 species
GACGAACGCUGGCGGCGUGCCUAAUACAUGCAAGUCGAACGCAGUGGGGACGGGUGAGUAACACGUGGGUAACCUCCCAUCAGAGGGGAUAACACUUGGCAACAGGUGCUAAACCGAUACUGAUGGAUGAACCCGCGGUGCAUUAGCUAGUUGGUGAGGUAACGGCUCACCAAGGCCACGAUGCAUAGCCGGCCGGAGAGGGUGAUCGGCCAAACGGGGACUGAGACACGGCCCAGACUCCUACGGGAGGCAGCAGUAGGGAAUCUUCGGCAAUGGACGAAAGUCUGACCGAGCAACGCCGCGUGAGUGAAGAAGGUUUUCGGGUCGUAAAACACUUUUGGUAAAGAGGCGGUAUCUAACCAGAAAGCAACGGCUAACUACGUGCCAGCCGCCGCGGUAAUAC